UACGUAGGGGGCAAGCGUUGUCCGGAUUUAUUGGGCGUAAAGAGCGUGUAGGCGGCCAGGUAGGUCUGCUGUGAAAACUCGAGGCUUAACCUCGAGAUGUCGGCGGAAACCAUCUGGCUAGAGUCCGGAAGAGGAGAAUGGAAUUCCCGGUGUAGCGGUGAAAUGCGCAGAUAUCGGGAAGAACACCCGUGGCGAAGGCGGUUCUCUGGGACUGUACUGACGCUGAUACGCGAAAGCGUGGGGAGCGAACAGG
rnacentral:rRNA from 1 species